rnacentral:misc_RNA from 1 species
GAUGAAGAACGUAGCGAAAUGCGAUAAGUAAUGUGAAUUGCAGAAUUCAGUGAAUCAUCGAAUCUUUGAACGCACCUUGCGCCCUUUGGCCAUUCCGAAGGGCAUGCCUGUUUGAGUAUCAUGAACACCUCAACUCUUCAUGGUUUUCCAUGAUGAGCUUGGACUUUGGGGGUCUUGCUGGCCUGUGGGUCGGCUCCUCUCAAAUGAAUCAGCUUGCCGGUUUUUGGUGGGCAUCACAGGUGUGAUAACUAUCUACGCUUGUGGUUUUCCACCAGGGUAACCUUCAGCAGUGGAGGUUCACUGGAGCUUACAACUGUCUCUCCUCUGUGAGGACAGCCCUUUGAAUGUUUGAUCUCAAAUCAGGUAGGACUACCCGCUGAACUUAAGCAUAUCAAUAAGCGGAGGA